AGACGAACCGUCCAAACGUUAUGCGGUAUCACUGGGCUUAAAGCGUGCGUAGGCGGCUUGGAAGGUGAGAUGUGAAAGCCCACGGCUCAACCGUGGAAUUGCGUUUCAAACCCUCAAGCUUGAGGAAGACAGGGGUGUUGGGAACUUAUGGUGGAGCGGUGAAAUGCGUUGAUAUCAUAGGGAACACCGGUGGCGAAGGCGCAACACUGGGUCUUUUCUGACGCUGAGGCACGAAAGCUAGGGUAGCGAACGGGAUUAGAAACCCGUGUAGUCC
rnacentral:rRNA from 1 species